CAAGCACAAACAGGAGGUAACAGUGAGCGGGAAGCUGGUGAAAUUCAUACCCACUAGGAAAUCACAAGAGAAGCCGGAGACGAGAUUGAAAAACCCCCCUUUCUCUAAGCCUGACAAUAUCAAGAUUGCAAUGCAAGCACCAAAAAGACCAAGAAACCGUGGGUAACACACACUGGAUCCAACCUUUGAAAUUCAGUAUCCAAUCCUUAAGUACUGUCACCAUGUGGUCUACACAUCCACCCAACAAACAGAACACGUUGGCGUGAUUUACAAAAAGAAAACAGUAGCAUGUAGCGAGAAAAGCAAGGUAGAUGAACACUUUAUGGGGCUAUCAGAAGAUCCAGAUUUGAGAUUGAAAACUUAUCAGGUGUCCAACCAGGCGUCCAUAACCAUAAGAGAGAUCAAGUUGGAUAUUUGAAGAACAUAAGCAUCUGCACUGAAGAUAAAAAAAUGACAGCAGAAUACACUACAAACACUUCUGAAAAGAUUUAUCUCAGCUCUGUAUUACCAGCAGUGCUGAAGAUGAAAAAAUGGCAACAGAAUACACUACAAACACUCAUAAAAGAUUUAUCUCAGCUCUGUAUUACCAGCAGUUUGGACAAAGAGAGAAGGGAAUCGCUAUCAUUAGGGAAGGAAACUGGAAUGAAAACCUCAAUAACUACAGAAACCUCCAUGCAAAUCGGCAAGCAAACACGCGGCUCCUUGGAAAGACGCAUUCACUGCUCCAAGGCCCAAUGGCUGCAAGCACAAAUAGGAGGUACCAUUUAAGUGAAAAACUGGUGAAACCGUACCACUACGAAACCAAAAGAGAUGCCAGAGACAAGAUUGAAAAAACCCUUUUCUCGAAGCCUUGACAAUACCAAGAUUGCGUUGCAAGCACCAAAAAGACCAAGAAACCACGCAUAACGCAUGCUGGAUCACCAACCUUUGAAAUUUCAAAAUCCAAUCCUUAAUUACUGUCACCAUGUGUCUACACAUCCCCACAACAAACUAAUACAAGUUGGCGUGAUAAACAAAGAAAACAGUAGCAGAAAAGAUAUGUAGCGAGAAAACCAAAAGUAGAGGAGCACUUUAUGGGGCUAUCACAAAAGAUCCAUAUUUGAGAUUGAGUACUUAUCAGGUGUCCAACCAGGUGUGAAAACAUAAGCAUCUGGAAUGAAAAAACUGAAAAUGGCAGCAAAAUAUGCUAUACACACUUGUGAAAGAUUUAUCUCAGUCAACAAUUUCCCCAUACCAGCAGUUUUGACAAAGAUAAGGGAAUCACGAUAAUUAGG
rnacentral:lncRNA from 1 species